CCAUAUAAACCACAAGUACUAGUAAAAUAAGACCGAAUAAGAUAUGCUGCACGUAUACAAUACAAACCACCGAGUAUAGCUAGGACACUAAUGUCGUAAAAUAAGAUAUGUUUCACGCAUACAAACCACCGAUUAUAGCUAUAGGACGCGUAUAAAGUCGACCGUAUCUUAUAUGAUCUAUUAUAUAUCGAUGGAACAAUGGAUGCAUCAAUAUUACGCCGAGAGACGAAUGAGGAUUGAGGAGAUAUUAAUCUCUUGUGCCGCAGCGAAUAAUGGUGUUGAGCUUCUUCUCGACCUGCGCCGCCGCGUUCGGCUUCUCCUCGAUCGGUUCCUUCUCGACCUGCUGGUUCUUCUCGAUAUUGCGUGGUGGUGGUGGCGCUGCCGCUUUGUUGCAUGACCCGGUAUCCAUGGAUGUAAGGUGGCAGCCGCCCCUGCGCGUUGCGCUCACAAACUGCCACAGUCGCGCACCCUCAAGCUCCUCUGGAUGAUGGGAAGCUUAACUUUGUUAAGGUGGCGUGAUCGCUCCUCUCCGUCGUUUGGUCUCGAGGGAGGGAGCGUAGAGAUUUAUAGGAGGCGAGGAUCGCAUCGGGGCCGCUCCUUAUUUGACUGUGGCUGUGGCUGUGGCUGUUUAGUAUAAGUCUAUUUUAUUUUUGCAGCUGUAAUAGUUCCUGCAGCGCUUAAAAGUUGGCUAGC
rnacentral:lncRNA from 1 species